GGGUGAAUGAGUCUGUUUAAUUGGCAAGUUGUCAUGAUUUCUCGUAAUUAUGGUUUUUUAGCUAUGUGAAAAAAGACAAAUGGUAAAUUAUAGUAACAUCAUCUGUCAUUUGGUGUAACGAUGAUCUCUGAAUCAUAAGUGCUGUGUGCACUAAUGCAUCUGCUAUUUCUCUAUGACAAAUAGGAUGAUCAAAACCUUUAAUAGAUUGUACUCUUUUCUCCUGACAGGUUUAUUUAUUCUUUUUCCUGUGUUUAGAAAAUCCCUUCCCACUCAUCGGCCUCUACUAGCACCAAAGGCAGGGAAACAGACCCAGGACCCAGAGCAAACCAAGCUUUUCUCUGGAAAGCAAAUCAAAGUAAAACUACCGUCCUGAUUCUGCGUGGGAUGUUUCUGCAGGUGGAUUCUAUGGAAGACACGGAGAAAAACAAAAUACAUUCCCUGUUCACAAGGAGCUCCGAGACUGGGUGCAUUAUAGACGGUGCACAAGGAGCUACAACCUACGCUGUGAGAACUGCCCUCAGACAGCCCCCAACGGCGUGGGAGCUCGGAAGACAACACGAGUCCUCACCGCUGAGAGACAACCAGAUGGUUUGUAGUUGCUACAUUGCCGUCCGAGUGACUUUCUAAUAUUUCUGCUCACUGAUUAGUUUCACGACGAAGCCUUGCCAGGUGGCCUAUUCAUCUUUCUCCGGACUCCUGAGCUUAUCUGGAACACAAGCCAUCCUACAAUAAGGACUUGGGCAAAAUGCUGUGAAACACGUUUGAAACAUAACCUAGACCAGAUAAAGAGACUGAGAAUCUCUGGGCAAAACAGAUCAUCCCUACCAUGUUAUGGUACUCUUUCUUUUAGGUUUGGACUCCCAGGUUUUCUGAGGCGCACUGGAAGCGCCGCGCCCGGGAAUCACCCGGGAGCUCUCUCUAGUCUUCUUCUAAGGAGCCCAUCGUCUGCUGCUCCUGGCCUCAUUCCUCUGCUUGCUGGGUGAGGCAUCUUCGCCCCUUCUUAGGAGAAGCUUCGCACCCCACUGUAGAUUCUGCCUGCUGUGCAUACCACACAGGGCAACCCGCA
rnacentral:lncRNA from 1 species